rnacentral:rRNA from 1 species
CUACCCGGGUAUCUAAUCCUGUUUGCUCCCCACGCUUUCGCACCUCAGCGUCAACAGUCGUCCAGUGGGCCGCCUUCGCCACUGGUGUUCUUCCGAAUAUCUACGAAUUUCACCUCUACACUCGGAAUUCCACCCACCUCUCCGACGUUCAAGCGAUCCAGUCUCAAAGGCAAUUCCGGGGUUGAGCCCCGGGCUUUCACCUCUGACUUAGAUCGCCGCCUACGUGCGCUUUACGCCCAGUGAUUCCGAACAACGCUAGCCCCCUCCGUAUUACCGCGGCUGCUGGCAC